UUUCCCCCAGUACUUUUCCCGUUGAAAACCGAGCGUUCUAGUGCCCUCUCCAUCAACUCCGGCGAGGUAAGCUUGACCCCGGCCAUGGUGCCGCCGGGUGUCUCCUCUGUACCGGCCGGCAGCUGCUUCCCCUCUCCCCCAUCUCUAAUCUGUGCCAUUCAAUCCGAGAUCAACGGCUCCCAAUCGAAGAUACCCUUUCGGCUGGCAUAAUUUCUAAAGAGCCCCUCCCCUUUUUGAUAAUAGAACCCGCAGCCCAAAGCACAUUUUAGGAAUACGCCUUUCAGUUUUGAAAACGUAAAUCAGU
rnacentral:lncRNA from 1 species